GAUGAACGCUGGCGGCGUGCCUAAUACAUGCAAGUCGAGCGAACAGACGAGAGUGCUUGCACUCUCUGACGUUAGCGGCGGACGGGUGAGUAACACGUGGGUAACCUACCUAUAAGACUGGGAUAACUUCGGGAAACCGGAGCUAAUACCGGAUAAUAUUUAGCUUCGCAUGAAGCAAUAGUGAAAGAAGGUUCUGCUGUCACCUAUGGAUGGACCCGCGGUGUAUUAGCUAGUUGGUGAGGUAACGGCUCACCAAGGCAACGAUACAUAGCCGACCUGAGAGGGUGAUCGGCGACCCUGGGACUGAGACACGGACCAGACUCCUACGGGAGGCAGCAGUAGGGAAUCUUCCGCAAUGGACGAAAGUCUGACGGAGCAGUGCCGCGUGAGUGAAGAAGGUUUUCGGAUCGUAAAACUCUGUUGUAAGGGAAGAACCAGUACGUUAGUAACUGAACGUACCUUGACGGUACCUUACCAGAAAGCCCCGGCUAACUACGUG
rnacentral:rRNA from 1 species